GCUGUCGAGGCCGCGGAGCCAGGAGCUGACGGCCGGGUGGCUGCGGGCCUUCCACAGGUCCCCCGCGUUGGGCCCCAGCAGCGUGGUCACGUUGC
rnacentral:pre_miRNA from 1 species